AAGUCGAUUCCGGGGAACUGGUGCAAAGCCGGUUGAGAGGAAGCUGUUACCGCUUCGACCCGCCCACCUGACCCAGAUAAUACUGGCGUAGGGAGAACGAAGGAAAAGCUC
rnacentral:ncRNA from 2 species